CAGAGUGCCCACUUACAUUUGAAUUUCAGAUAAAUGAUGAGUACUCUACUAGGAUUAGUACGUCUCAUGCAAUAUUUGGGACAUACUUAUCCUGAAUGAUUAUUCAAUGAUUAUCUGAAAUUCAAGUUUAACUGGGUGUUCUGUA
rnacentral:miRNA from 1 species